GACGAACGCUGGCGGCGCGCUUAACACAUGCAAGUCGAACGAUGAGACCUUCAUAGCACUCUUCGGGGCGGAGACUCAGUGGUUUAACGGCGGACGGGUACGUAACACGUGAGUAACCAACCUUAGACUAUGGGAUAGCCUCGGGAACCCAUGAUCAAUACCAAUUCAGAUCCUAAUCACACAUGUCAUACCGAUCACGACUCCGGUGGUCUAAGAUGGCCUCGCGUCACAUUAGCUAGUUGGUAGAGUAAAAGCCUACCAAGGUGACGAAGGCUAGCCGGGCGGAGAGGAUGAACGGCAGCACUGGAACUGAGAAACGGUACAAAUGCGUACGGGAGGCAGAAGGGGGGAAUAAUGCACAAUCGAGGGAGCUAGGAGGCAGCGACGCCGCGUGAAGUAAGAAGGUUUUGAAGUCGGAAAGUUCUUGUAGAUGGGAAGAUAAUGACGGUAGCAGAAGAAAAAGCCCCGGCUAACUACGUG
rnacentral:rRNA from 1 species